rfam:Bradyrhizobium sp. NAS80.1 Bradyrhizobium_NAS_80.1_rep_c4276, whole genome shotgun sequence.
CUGAGAUCGUCGUAAGGCGAUCUGAUCGCAGCGCAGAAGUCAGCCGAGGGCAUAGUAGGCGGCAGCGCGCCGCCGAAGGCC